GUCCCUGUAGCGCAAUGGAUAGCGCGUUGGACUUCUCACCCAAAGGUCGUGGAUUCGAGUACCACCUGGGUUA
rnacentral:tRNA from 1 species